ACACUUUGAUGUGCUUUCUCAUCUGAUUGCUCAUGCAGCUGAGGACAUGCAAGGAAAGACUGAGGAGGAAAUCGAGAUGAUGAAACUGAUGGGCUUUGGAGCCUUUGACAGCACAAAGGGCAAGAAGAAGGAGGGAUCCAAUGCUGCGUUUGCAUUUAACGUGUCGCAAAAGAGAAAAUACAGGCAAUACAUGAACAGGAAAGGUGGUUUCAACAGACCUUUGGAUUUCAUUGCCUGAUGGAGUCGUCAGUAACCACGUUUUAACGACUUUGAUGUCUUUGUGAUUAAACGUAUAUUCUCUUUUCUUCCCCGAGUUUAUGUAUAUCUGUGUUUCAGCAGUUUUUCCAUCUGUUUUGUUUUUCAGUUAAUGGCUGUAAUGUACGCGUCAGUUUAGUUUGUAGGAGCAAAUAUUAAAAAGGAUUUGAUGUUGCGAAUUGAUUGCCUUGUAUACCUUAUUUGGCAGUACUGAAUAAAUGGGAACUCCUAAUGAAUA